UGGCAAGUGUGGGAAAAGGGAGUGUUCCAGUCAUUAAGAGAAGGGAAGGGAUCUCUAGGGAAGAGCUCUCAUUUGAACUAAGCCUGGAAAAAUGGGUCAUAAAAUCUCUGGUUUUCAUCUUUUUCACAAAUGCUAUCCGUGUCCUAUCUUGUCCAUUAUAGAUUAUCAGUAGUGGUUGUCCGUUGCAUGGUUGUACCAGUUUAUUUAACCAACCUUGUUAGACAUGGAGAUUAUUUCUAAGUAGGGGAUAUUAUAAAGAAUGCUUCCACAACCAUCCCUGAAGCAAACUGUUUGGAUUCAGCACUUAAUAUUGUACUAUAUUAUCCUUAGUAUAUGUGUGCAUGUAUAUAUUUGUGCUGAAUUAGAUUUCAGCCCUAAAAAGUUGAGCAUGCAUUUCCCAGGACAUUUUCCAAUGCCAGUAACAUGUUACCAACUAAGAAAACUUUUUCACAAACAUCUAAAGUUCAGUUCAUGUUAAAAUUUCAGCAUUUGUCCCUGAAAGCCUUAGGGCUUAUUUUUCAAACCAGGAUUCAGUCAAGUUUCAUAAAUAACAUUUAUUAUAUUAAAAACAUUUGUGUGUUUCCACCAAGUGUCCUUUAAUUCAUUCCUCUAACUUCUAUAUUUCCUGCAAACUGGAUUCAGUCUUAGAGUCUUGAUUAUAUUUGAAAAGACCCUACAGAGUAUGUGGUAUACUUCACAUGGUGUUACAUCAGGAGACACCUAAACUCUCCAGAGAUGCUAACUUUGAGUGAGUGGUUAAGAUAUGACCACCAGAACGCUGUUGUAAAUACAGGCUUUUCCCUGUUUCAACAUCUUCCAACAUCCAGUUAUUUUAGCAUGCAUUGAUAAUCCAUUGCCUUUCUGAUUCUAGAUAUCAUGUUUAGAAAAUGCAAAGGGAGGGGCGCCUGGGUGGCUCAGUCGGUUAAGCGUUCAACUUUGGCUCAGGUCAUGAUCUCGCAGUUCACACAUCGGGCUCUGUGCUGAUAGCUCGGAGCCUGGAGCCUGCUUCAGAUUCUGUGUAUCCCUCUCUCUCUGGCCCUUCCCAACUUGUGCUCUUUUUUUCUCUCAAAAAAUAAACAUUAAAAAAAAAUGCAAAGGGAAAAGUUACCUAAUUUGAUAGAUGGGAAAUGGUAUCUUCUGAUGUUUUCAUUCAGAUAUUAUUCCUGUGGUACAUAGUUUUUUUCCCCAUCACGUACCAAGUGGCCAUUUGCAGUGCAUGGGUUAUGUGACCAGUACCCCAAAUCCAGUUCAAGUGUCCAAUUCAGUAGAUGUGGGGAAGGUUUUCACCGAAAUCAUGUAAUGAGUUCACCAUUAGGAAGGGUUUUGUUAACAAAGAGGAUGCUGAGCAGAAAAAGGAAUAGAUGACUUCCCUUCAAGCUAUUAAUCUUUUUCCUUUUGAUUUAUGUAUUUACGAUAUUAACCUCUCCUUAUGUUAUAAAGGUUUCCUCUCCAAAUUAUCUUUUGCUUUUCAGUUUUUAUUAGGGCCCUUUUAAGCAGAGCUUGUUUAGUUUUAAGUAGGCCAACUUCUACCAAUGUCUUUGCAGUUUCUGCUUCUGGUGUCUUGAGGUAUGUGUGGGCUGCUUCCCAGACCCUGAGAGGCUUUGUAUUAUUUAAAACCAGCAACAACUCUGAGGAGGCAAUGAUCAACCCCUAAAUGACAUUUAUCCUGGAUAAAAUGGAAGCUAUGAAAUAUGGGCACAGUUUUGAGGAUCUACGGAAUGAAUUUCACCAUAGGUUUCUCUAUGGCCUACAGAGAUCAAAUCUAAAAUUUGUUACAGAAGUGGGAUCCAAAGACCCUGAAUGUCUCCAAGGCCAGUGAACACAUAGGUGCCUAGUACCCACAAAGCCCAGUGAACUCACUGCUUUCUAGCUAACCCUGGAAUUUGAGGGUAAGUCUCUUUGAGAUCUGAGGUCUGCUCUUUGUGUUUUGAGCGCUCCAACUUUAUUGUGCACACCUGCAUUUUGCUUGUUGAAGCUUCUUGGUUAGUCACUCUGUGCUGUUCAAAGAGUGGGGGUGGGGUGGAACGUGAUUCCCUGUGUUUUGAAACAGUUGUUGGAAAACAGGGCCUCUCACAGUUAAGACAUUAAAGGUAAAGAUGGGUUCCGUCUGGCCUAUGGAUGAGGCUCUUGUGCCUUUUUGGAAAAUGGCUGAUCUUUUGAAAUUGUAGUGGCCACUUUGGGGAAUUUUUAACUUAGAUAGGUCCACCUUAAGCACGUUUAGAAGAUUCCAAACCUCUCAGAAACCAUGGAAUGUAUUCUUUAAAUGGCAUGUAGAAGCUUCUAAAAGACGAAAAUGACUCCAUAAAGAGCUCUGAAAAAAAUCCUUACAGCAUGCAAAUAGUGUCUUUGGCCAUCUAAGUAGGUACUGUUAAUUUAGUCCACCUGCCAGAAAGUUUGUAUCCAACAAUUCUUUUGACUUUUGUACCUGAGACGUGGCUACAGUUUUCAAAACAAAAGCUUUAAGAACUUUUUGGAUGUCUGUAUGUUUAUGUAGGUCUAUGUAUGUUACAGAUAGGUGAUAUUUUUCUCUUUCCAGAUGGUAUUACCAAAAUUGUAAAGAGCUCUAUUUAAUUUAAAGAAAAGUGUUUUAUCAAGAUACUCUCAGAAGUAUAGAAACUAACCCAGAUU